rnacentral:rRNA from 1 species
UUCGGAUCGCAGGCUGCAACCCGCCUGCGUGAAGUCGGAAUCGCUAGUAAUCGCGGAUCAGCAUGCCGCGGUGAAUACGUUCCCGGGCCUUGUACACACCGCCCGUCACACCAUGAGAGUCGGGAACACCCGAAGCCCGUAGCCUAACAGCAAUGAGGGCGCGGUCGAAGGUGGGUUCGAUAAUUGGGGUGAAGUCGUAACAAGGUAAC